rnacentral:rRNA from 1 species
CUAAAAUGAGAGUUUGAUCCUGGCUCAGGACGAACGCUGGCGGCGUGCCUAAUACAUGCAAGU